rnacentral:rRNA from 1 species
ACUCCUACGGGAGGCAGCAGUCGAGAAUCAUUCACAAUGGACGAAAGUCUGAUGGUGCAACGCCGCGUGUGGGAUGAAGGCCUUAGGGUCGUAAACCACUGUCAUGUGAGAGUAAGGCAUAUUAGUUAAUACCUAGUAUGUUUGAUAGUUCACAAGAGGAAGGGACGGCUAACUCC